UAGAUGGGAGAAAGACAGACACAACUGAGUGCAGCCCUUAGAAGGUGAUCCUGAAUUUUAUUUUCAUGCUCAACUAGAAAGCAAUAUUUGUUCAGGCCCUGAGGGGAGAAAAAAGUGGAUUUCUGUGCCCAAGGGAAAUGAAUGCUGGGUACUGUUUGUUUCCAUUAGAAUGCCUGGGUGAUGCCACACUGUAAGAGGUCUUGGGAGUCCCUGCCUUGAUCAUCCCAAAGAAAAAUUCUGAAGCAUUUGCCCUUUCUAUCCUCCCACCUCUACCAACUAACCAGGUGAGAGAGUAUUUCACCUCAGCCUCUGUGAUCAGUUCUGGGACCGUGACCGUGCCACACUGCUGAGCUCCUGGAAUCUCUGUACAUUUCUGCAGGCAUGGAGUCUUGAUCAACCUAUAUUUACUGGGGACAGGGACUGAGCUAACCUGAACGUCUCACCCGAAGCAGGAGAAAGAUCUGAAUAUGUAGAUAAUUUCUGAUGGGAAAACAGAGAACAAAUCACCUAUGGAAAGAGAGGUAGGAGGCAGAGAGAGAUGGAUGGAAGUAAGAAAGACACACCAGGCUGGUGGGGAACGGUCAGCAAGAAAGAGCACAAUAUGCGGUGGGCACACUCUUGGAUGCAUGAGACCCGCCCCCAGAGCUGAAAUGCCAGUAUUUAAGUACACAAUUCUUAGUCUUUGCUCUGUGAAUAGUCACCUAGGAACAAAAAGUCACAUUUCUGCAGGUCUGUCUCCAGAAUGUUCUCCUUGUUUUCAAACAUGUGGUUAGUGAAUUUCAGUGCUUGAUUGAUAGCUUUGGAGAAGCCCUGCAAUUAUCCACAAAACAGGGACAGCUGGAGCAGCAGCAACACAAGCUUCCCCCUCAUAUCAACCCUUGGCAAUCAAUGGGCCUCAGCCCUCACCUGGAGAAACCACCUCUGAGAGCAAGACAAAAGUUCAUUUUCCAUGCUCAUUCCACGCUCCAACUCUCUUCUGAGACUACCAACAAUGAGGGAGCCCAUUAGCACCAAAUGUGAUGGGGGAAGGUCACAUCAUUGCCAGUGACUCCACCCAUCUCAGAAUUAAUUCUAUUAUUUUGCUCCCUGACCACUUAUGAACUCAGUUAUGUUUGUCCCAAAAACCUUUUUAAACUA